GGAAAGGAGACUUUGCAUCAUUUGUGAAAUUGCCGGAUUUUGCAACAUCUGACUCAUUGCAUUAGCAUCAGGCAUAGCACCAAACAUGUUCUCAAACUCAGGAAGGCCAAGUCCACCUAGUCCAGCAGGUGCCUGCUGCGGCCUAGCAUCCCCAGCAGUAUUCAACCCUGUAGUGUUUGUUUGGGCACCACCAGUCCCCGCAGCAGUCCAAGGGUUGGGCAGUGGAUUGGUAUUUGGAGCGGGGGAACCAG
rnacentral:misc_RNA from 1 species